AAACAUAUGGCGGUUUCUGGAGCUCAUAUUUUGUGUGGAUAAACCUUUUUCCUUAUCAUUUGAAAGAUGACCAAUAUUGUGUCUGGGACAAAGAUGAGGAUCCUGUGACCAACAAGAUUUGAUGGGAAAGUUGGAAAGCUUAAAAGAACAUGCUAAAAAUGAUUACGUUCCCAGAUAGUGCAGAAAGAAUGAAGCAGAAUCACCAACAGCAGCAGAACUAAAUGGGGCGAUAACGGAACAAGGUUCAUUCUGUC